GGGUCUAUAGUUUAAUGGUAGAACGAGGCACUCCAAACGCUUCAGUCGCAGUUCGAUUCUGUGUAGACCCG
rnacentral:tRNA from 1 species